rnacentral:rRNA from 1 species
UACAGAGGUCUCAAGCGUUGUUCGGAUUCAUUGGGCGUAAAGGGUGUGUAGGUGGCGCGCUAAGUCGGGUGUGAAAUUUCGGAGCUUAACUCCGAAACUGCAUUCGAUACUGGCGUGCUUGAGGACUGGAGAGGAGACUGGAAUUCAUGGUGUAGCAGUGAAAUGCGUAGGAGUAUCAUGAGGAAGACCAGUGGCGAAGGCGGGUCUCUGGACAGUUCCUGACACUGAGACACGAAGGCCAGGGGAGCAAACGGG